rnacentral:rRNA from 1 species
AUUGAACGCUGGCGGUAGGCCUAACACAUGCAAGUCGAACGCGAAAGUCCUUCGGGAUGAGUAGAGUGGCGGACGGGUGAGUAACGCGUAGGAAUCUAUCCUGUAGUGGGGAUAACGUUUCGAAAGGAACGCUAAUACCGCAUACGCCCUACGGGGGAAAGCGGGGGAUCUUCGGACCUCGUGCUAUAGGAGGAGCCUGCGUCGGAUUAGCUAGUUGGUGAGGUAAAGGCUCACCAAGGGCGACGAUCCCGUAGCUGGUCUGAGAGGAUGAUCAGCCACACCGGAACUGAGACACGGUCCGGACUCCUACGGGAGGCAG